rnacentral:lncRNA from 1 species
UAAAAGUAUCAUGGUUUGGAUGAGCUCUGAUGCCUGCUUUAGCAGCUUCAGCAGACGUACGUUUGUGAGGUAAAACGAACCCUUGCACCAGUUUCUUCAUAAUGGAUCGACCUGCAACAGUCUGGUUCUUAAACAGAACCUUUCUUGGCCCCUGUUUCUUCUCCUCUCUCUCUCCAAUCUGGUUAUCUUCGAGUAUCGCUAUGAUCCUGAGCCACAUUAAUAACCCAAUCCAAACUUUCCAGGCCCUACUUCUAGCAAAUCGUUGAUUCCUUUGUCAACACGCCAAGUAAAUCCAAACAAAUCUCUUAUUGACUAGAAGAAAAAUAAUACAUUUAUUAUCCAAGCCAUCGCCACUUGAAGACCCAAGAUCACAUGUAUCUGUGUAAAUCGUAGAUCGUAAUAUCUUCGAGCCCCUAUCAAUUCCGGUCUUUUUCAUAUUCCCCUGCAACCCAAUCAAUCCUGAUUGAUCCCCUUGGAUCAGAUCAUCGUGAACUUUCCCUUGUUUGCUAAUACUGUAAUCCUGAUGAAGAUUCGGUAUCUCAUGUGCUAUUCCGACCCUCUUUCUUCCCGGAUCCCA